rnacentral:snRNA from 1 species
AGGUGGGUAUCCCCUUCCUCCCUCCCUGCUCUAUAUCUGUCCCUCCCAAAACUGUGUGCUUGGUCAAAAAGGAUGACCAUCCCAGAUAGAGGAGGACCAUUUCCUUGGUCAAGCAUAUAGAGCAGCCAGUCUCCCCUGCUAGAACCUCCAAAUAAUCUCUCAAAGAAAAGGAGGGAGUUCAGCAGUUCCUCUAAAUUGUACUGAUGAUAUAAACCAAUUAACGUUG